UCUCAGUAGGCUAUUAACAUAUCGCCAUACUAAUUAGGCUACUUCACGAGUGAUAUAAUUUCAAACUUUAAAUUACGUUCUAAUUAACAAGGGUUGUCCAAUUUGCUUAAUCUUCAAAAGGCUUUUCGGCUUGUCUAAUUAGUCUAAACUAUUGAGCAUCUCAAGCGCCUAGUAAAAAGCCAUAAAUAAUAUUUUUGUAUUUUCAUUUAAAUAUCGGGUAAAGUUUACCAGAAAGACUCGAAAGCCGUGACGGGAAGGGGCUGGCAGAGAGACAGAUGUCCUUCUACCUCCCUCCGCCUGAGUCAUUGCAGCUCCUUUUGCCGUCCCUCUGCUCCCGCUUCAGCCUCCCAAGCAGCAAUCAUGACCUUUUCCGUUUCCGUACGAGCUUGCGACGAGGUUUUCAGAGAAAACAGACGCGCAGGAAAAACCUCUUGCUUGCCGGGGAGGGAAAAAAACAAAACAAAAAAAGAGCAAAAUAGCGCCUUUGCACUCGGAAGUCCGAAGGAAACCAACACAUUGUGCAUGAGCGGAACCGAGAAAAGGGCUUUCUACUCCUCGCUCUUUGGCUGAACUUUGCUAGCAGUAAUGACGAUAGAGAUAAAAUUGUGAAGAGGGGAAUUCACAGAUGUAAAGCGAUUUCUUCUGGGAAUGAAAGUACGUGACUGUACAAAACAGAGGAGAGUCUUGCAAUGAACCCAUCUAACAAAGAGCUUUACAGAUGCGUGAUCACAAAUCAUAUUGCAAACACAUCCACUAAUGAAGGGUGAAAGUCCUCUCUGCCCCCUUACGCCCUUUAAAAGGAGCAAUGAGAAAGUGCGAGUUCGAGGCACAGCUGCUGCCCGCAGGACGGUGCUACGGCACAAGACAGUGCUUGCGUAUCAGUGGGAAGCUACGUGCAAGAGGCUAAUGGUGAAGCAGCAGAGAGUACACAGACAAAUGCCAAGCCAGCCCUUCCUCCCCACCAAAGCUGAUUGUUCCUGCCCUGGCUUUAACCCAGGAGGCAGUCUGUCGAAAUUCAAGUCCAGCACGGCAAGCAGUAGAAAAAACAGAUCCAUAUUCGUUUUUUUUGCCUAGCAUUUGUCUCUCUGUCCCCCGGAAGUGGACACUCACCGGGUUAUCUGAUGUCCCACAGGAGUUAGACCAACUUGCCCGGUAGCCCCCGCUUGGGUACGUCUUACCCCUGCCUCGGCGGGGGGGGGCAGGGGAGGCGUUCCUGCCGGCAGCCCAACGGUGAGUGAAACCGCACCGCUCAGCCAUCGCUGCGUCCGCUCUGCGGUCUGCCAAGAAGGGAAGGGAGCUCUUCACGCGCCUGCCUUGCAGGAGGUCAUCGUUAGUUGGUCAAGAUAUCUCCAGCGCUGUUUUCCAUGAAUGUAUUUGAUACGGCAGCUUCAAGUUACGUCGUUUCGAACAGACAGGACGGACAGUUUAUGAACACAGGCUUCUUAAAAGCAAGCUGGGAGGAGGAAGGAGGAGAGGUUUUUUACCGUAUUUUAGGCCAAAAAGUUCCUUUGGCAGCAGAUUUUCUGUAACAAGUGAGAACAACAAGAAUUAGCUCUCUCAGCACUUCCAGCAAAGACUGUGUCUGUAAUCAAAAGAAUCAGGGCUUGUUUGACAUAAACUGCACAAUGGCACAGGAAAGAUGCAGGAGGGCAGAAAUAUAUUAUCGAAGGCGAGGGAAACAAAUUCCCGGCUCUACUGGGAACUCGAGGUUCUGGCUCCUUCUCGUGUGCAGCUACAGCUGGCAUCCUCCCACAAAGGCGUAAAGGCAGGUCUGGCCGGUUGCGGCAAAUCUUGGUGAGGAACAGGUCAUAGCUGCGACCUACCUGAUUUCUUAUAAUCCAAAUACUUCCCUUUUUCUCCCUUUGUACACAGUUCUUCCUUAUGCAGAAAUGCAAAUUCUCGCUGGACUUCUGAGACUUCAAAACUGAUUUGAAUUCUUAUGUUCCCCCACAAAGGGUGAAGUAGGAUAUCCCAAGGUAGACAGGCCUCCAAAUAAUAAACAGGUCUGAGAAACCUGGAAUAGUUUACUU
rnacentral:lncRNA from 1 species